AGAGUUUGAUCCUGGCUCAGGAUGAACGCUAGCUACAGGCUUAACACAUGCAAGUCGAGGGGCAGCAUUUCGCUAGCAAUAGUGAAGAUGGCGACCGGCGCACGGGUGAGUAACACGUAUCCAACCUGCCGAUAACUCGGGGAUAGCCUUUCGAAAGAAAGAUUAAUAUCCGAUAGUAUAUUAAAACCGCAUGGUUUUACUAUUAAAGAAUUUCGGUUAUCGAUGGGGAUGCGUUCCAUUAGUUUGUUGGCGGGGUAACGGCCCACCAAGACUACGAUGGAUAGGGGUUCUGAGAGGAAGGUCCCCCACAUUGGAACUGAGACACGGUCCAAACUCCUACGGGAGGCAGCAGUGAGGAAUAUUGGUCAAUGGACGAGAGUCUGAACCAGCCAAGUAGCGUGAAGGAUGACUGCCCUAUGGGUUGUAAACUUCUUUUAUAAAGGAAUAAAGUCGGGUAUGUAUACCCGUUUGCAUGUACUUUAUGAAUAAGGAUCGGCUAACUCCGUGCCAGCAGCCGCGGUAAUACGGAGGAUCCGAGCGUUAUCCGGAUUUAUUGGGUUUAAAGGGAGCGUAGGCGGAUGCUUAAGUCAGUUGUGAAAGUUUGCGGCUCAACCGUAAAAUUGCAGUUGAUACUGGGUGUCUUGAGUACAGUAGAGGCAGGCGGAAUUCGUGGUGUAGCGGUGAAAUGCUUAGAUAUCACGAAGAACUCCGAUUGCGAAGGCAGCUCACUGGAGUGUAACUGACGCUGAUGCUCGAAAGUGUGGGUAUCAAACAGGAUUAGAUACCCUGGUAGUCCACACAGUAAACGAUGAAUACUCGCUGUUUGCGAUAUACAGUAAGCGGCCAAGCGAAAGCAUUAAGUAUUCCACCUGGGGAGUACGCCGGCAACGGUGAAACUCAAAGGAAUUGACGGGGGCCCGCACAAGCGGAGGAACAUGUGGUUUAA
rnacentral:rRNA from 1 species